GCCUGGUGUUUGCCAAGGCUUUAGUGCUGAGCGAGUGCUAAGCAGGGGUGGGGAGGAAGCAGCUGACCAGGCCCUGCAGUCAAUGACCAGUGAAGCUUGUCAGAGGGCACCCCUGGGUUACCCCUCACUCUCAGAGGCUUAGUAGUUGAGCAAGAGUUACACCCAAGAGUGUUUAAAUCAGGCAUUCUAGGAUUCAAAUAAGAGGAAAUAUUUUCUUAACUCAUCCCAGGAGACCAGACUUACCCUGAUAUGGAGGCCCAAAAAAGACACCGCAAGAAAAGCAAACUACAGAUCACUACCUGCUGCAAACACAGAGGCAAAAGUCCUCAACAGGAUACCAGCAAAUCAAACUCGGCAGUGUGGAUUUCCUUUCUCUGUGUCACACAUUAAAAGUGGAGAAUCAUAAUGAUAAUCCCAUUUGGAUUUAUGAACAGUUGAAUAGACUAUUGAAAAGAUGCCUUAAUCAAGAAAUAAAUUCACUACAGAAUUGCAUUCAGGGUGGGACAACUACCUUUACCCAUGGAUUUUCUAUCGCUUCAGGGAAAACUCUUCGAUGUUUGAAUUAAGCACCACAUCUGGAAACAAAAGAAAACGAUUACUUUCACUAAGUGCUAUCUAUGUCUCUAGGACUAUGGACAAAAUUUGCUUACAUUCUGUCAAAAUUCCAUCCACUUUUGAAGGUUACAGGCCAGGCUGGAGUCAAGGGAGAAGAAAUAGCGUCUACUUCUUGGUGGGAAGACCAGUAUGCACAUAUAGGGAGAGAAGAAUCAGCACUGGCCUUCUUUGGAGUCUCUCUGAGAAGGGGGAAGAUGAAGGAUGACACGGUCUGCUUGUCAGAUGCUGGCCCACAACACACCUUGGGGGCCAGGGAAGCUCCAGGGAUGCGCACCUCGGAGGGUGGAAGAAUUGGAAUAAAACUGCCAAGCAAGAG
ensembl:lncRNA